UCCCCUCUUUACCAAAAGGUAAGAUAAAGCAACACAUGAGACUGGGGGGUGUUGGUAAGACGGGAACUGGGGGCCGGGAGUCCUGGCCCCUUCCUCUAGCCCUUUUCCUCACCCCCUCUGAGAGUUUCCACUGGUGACAACAUUUACUGUAAGUUCUGUGCUCCAAAGAGCCUGGGCAAACCCCGAGGCAGAAGGGAGGGGUGGGGUAGGCGGGCCACAGGGACCAAUUGCUCCGACCUUCUCUCCGCCUAGAGGCCGGCCCAGCUUUCGGGAAGUUACAGCAGGCUCUUCCUCCCUCAGCGAGCCCUGCUGAGCUCUGGCUUUCUCCUCUCCCUCUCCCCGCCCCCCUGGGAGAUCCCAGAGCGCUAGGAGAGCAUUCAUAACCGCCACCCGCCUCUAAGUAGAAAACAACCACCUGUGACAAGAAACUUGUCUUUACCUUGGGAAGCAAGACUGCUUCCUGCCAGGGCCCCAGAGAAACCAGUACUGCCAGCCCAGGGGACCUGCCGCCAGCCAGACACUUCGCAGAGGAAGAGUUUGACUUCGCUUGCAGAAGGAAGUGGCUGAUCUGGGGUUCUCAGCCCUCCACAUCCCCACCUGCCACCGCUUGGUCCACUCUGACCCUCCCUGGGGCCGUCAUGCUGUGGAAGGGGCUCUCACACAGGGACAGAUGGCAAAGGUGGCCAUGGGAGCAGCUCUUGACCCAGAGGUUCCAAUUUAAUUGUUCCAGACGUGGUCUCAGGCAUCAAGAUUAAAAAAAUACUUCCCAGGGCUUCCCUGGUGGCGCAGUGGUUGAGAAUCUGCCUGCCAAUGCAGGGGACACGGAUUCGAGCCCUGGUCUGGGAGGAUCCCACAUGACACGGAGCGGCUGGGCCCGUGAGCCACAAUUACUGAGCCUGCGCGUCUGGAGCCUGUGCUCCGCAACAAGAGAGCCCGCAACGGUGAGAGGCCCGCGCACCGCGAUGAAGAGUGGCCCCCGCUUGCCACAACUAGAGAAAGCCCUCACGCAGAAACGAAGACCCAACACAGCCAUAAGAUAAAUAAAUUAAUUAAUUUUAAAAAA